CCCAGUUGGUGGCGCUAACGCGGAGUAAUACCGUACCUCACAGCACAUCUAAUACAAGUCAAUAGAGUUGGCAAAAACUACGAUAAAACCUGUUGGAAAGCAUCUUUUGCAGCGAUUUUUGUGUGAGCAUAUCAGUGAACACCCCUGACCACUCGGCAAAAGUAAAUUUAGGAAUUAAAAGAGAGAGAGAGAGAGACUCUAAUGGUUCCUACACAAUCAGGACGAUCUUUCUUCCACAGCUAGCACCGAGACCAUCACCACAAGCGCUGUGACCAGAUCGUGGAUGUUCGUUGAGGCCCUCGAAACCAGUGAUGUUGGCAGCUGGACCCUCAUCUGGUACCAGUCUGGUCACUACCGUCCCCACCAUGAGACUCAACACAGGAAAAGCUCCUAGGAAAAACAAUAGCACAGAAGAGUAUUAACAUUUAUCAUAAAAUUUAAAUUCCUCCGGGACAAAGCAACUUCCGAAGAUAAAAAGGAAGUUUUCCAGGCGAUUAACAGAAUCCUACCUUAUCAGCUAAAUGAUCAUCUGCAUUUUCACUGGAGGUUUCCAGCUGGAUGAAGAGAAUGGCGUCAUGGACGGUGAUGAAGAGCAGAUCUCUGGUGACCUCUUCAUCAAAGAACGACAGGGCUUCCAUUCUCCUGACAAGCUCAGCUGUAACAUGAGGAGACCUGAGGUGCAAUAAAGAUAGCUCACCAGCUUAAGGGACUUUGCAGCUACCACAUCUAUAAACGAGACAGCAGAGAAAUCCACCACAAGGCUGUGAAUGUGGACCCUGGGUACCGACACAUUGACAGGCAGCUCUGAUGUCCAAUCUACUUGGACCUUCACCUCUGGCUGUAUUGUCCCAGAGUACAGCCACAUCAGACAUCUGCAUGAACAUUCCCUUCAGGUUAGCUAUAACAAUACCGGCCAACACUGACUGUGGGACAGUAAAGGAGAAUAUGAAGAUAAGUCUCUGUUCUUUAAAGGGGACAUUUCACAAGACUUUUAAAAAAAUGUAAAAUAAAUCGUUGGUGUCCCUAGAGUGCCUAAAGUUUUAACUCAAAAUAUCAUUUAGAUAAUUUAUUAUAACAUGUUAAAAUUGUCACUUUGUAGGUGUGAGCAAAAAUGUGCCGUUUUGGGUGUGUCCUUUAAAAUGCAAAUGAGCUGACCUCUGUGAUAAAUGGCAGUGUCGUGGUUGGAUAGUGCAGAUUAAGGGGCAGUAUUAUCCCCUUCUGACAUCACAUGGGGAGCCAAAUUUCAGUGACCUAUUUGUUCACAUGUUUGCAGAGAAUGGUUUACCAAAACUAAACUACUGGGUUGAUCUUUUUCACAUUUUCUAGGUUUAUAGAAGCACUGGAGACCCAAUUAUAGCACUUAAACAUGGAAAAAGUCCCCCUACAAUGAAUAGUAACUGUAUUUCUGAUACAUUUUUACUUUAUUAAACCAUCAUUUUGGCCUGUCACCCUGUCGUAACUGCCCUAACAUUACACAAUAUUCAUAUUCAGAAAAAAGAGGAUUUUACUAAAUAAUAAAUAUGUUUAAUACUACACUUAAUAUUUUACAUGUAUAUCUAAUGUCAGAUAAAUGUCUUGCUACCUUACCUCUACAAUGAGGUCUGUAAAGCCCCAUGAAUCAAAAGUGUAAAGCCGUAUUAAACACACGAGGAGGUAAUCAGACCCCCUUUUAGAUGCAAUUUUCAAAUCUUUGCUAUUUAUACUGCUAGAUCAAAAUGAUAGUACAUGCCGAACUAUGGCUAUGCAAAGAUUUUACAGAUAUUUCAAUAUAGAUACUCAAGUUUUUUCUCCCACACCUUCUGCAGAGGCUGAAGAUAGGGCCCAAGAGCCAAGAUCACGAUCAAGACCAUAAAAGCCGAGAUUAUACUAGCAACCUGCAAUUAUAAAAAUAUAACAAAGUUAAAUAUAAUUUGUAUAAACACAGACAGAUGUAAAAUAGUUGAAAAUUAAUAGCCUAUGCUUUUCACCUGACUCCGC